rnacentral:rRNA from 1 species
CCUACGUGAGGCAGCAGUGAGGAAUAUUGGUCAAUGGGCGCGAGCCUGAACCAGCCAAGUAGCGUGAAGGAUGACUGCCCUACGGGUUGUAAACUUCUUUUAUAAAGGAAUAAAGUGAGGCACGUGUGCCUUUUUGUAUGUAAUUUAUGAAUAAGGAUCGGCUAACUCCGUGCCAGCAGCCGCGGUAAUACGGAGGAUCCGAGCGUUAUCCGGAUUUAUUGGGUUUAAAGGGAGCGUAGAUGGGUUGUUAAGUAAGUUGUGAAAGUUUGCGGCUCAACCGUAAAAUUGCAAUUGAUACUGGCAGUCUUGAGUACAGUUGAGGUAGGCGGAAUUCGUGGUGUAGCGGUGAAAUGCUGAGAUAUCACGAAGAACUCCGAUUGCGAAGGCAGCUUACUAAACUGCCACUGACAUUGAUGCUCGAAAGUGUGGGUAUCAAACAGGAUUAGAUACCCCAGUAGUC